rnacentral:rRNA from 1 species
AGUCGAGCGGGGAGAGGUAGCUUGCUACCUKCCCUAGCGGCGGACGGGUGAGUAAUGCUUAGGAAUCUGCCUAUUAGUGGGGGACAACAUUCCGAAAGGAAUGCUAAUACCGCAUACGCCCUACGGGGGAAAGCAGGGGAUCUUCGGACCUUGCGCUAAUAGAUGAGCCUAAGUCAGAUUAGCUAGUUGGUGGGGUAAAGGCCUACCAAGGCGACGAUCUGUAGCGGGUCUGAGAGGAUGAUCCGCCACACUGGGACUGAGACACGGCCCAAACUCCUACGGGAGGCAGCAGUGGGGAAUAUUGGACAAUGGGCGAAAGCCUGAUCCAGCCAUGCCGCGUGUGUGAAGAAGGCCUUUUGGUUGUAAAGCACUUUAAGCGAGGAGGAGGCUACUUGGAUUAAUACUCUAGGAUAGUGGACGUUACUCGCAGAAUAAGCACCGGCUAACUCUGUGCCAGCAGCCGCGGUAAUACAGAGGGUGCGAGCGUUAAUCGGAUUUACUGGGCGUAAAGCGUGCGUAGGCGGCUUCUUAAGUCGGAUGUGAAAUCCCUGAGCUUAACUUAGGAAUUGCAUUCGAUACUGGGAAGCUAGAGUAUGGGAGAGG